UACGAAGGGGGCUAGCGUUGCUCGGCAUCACUGGGCGUCAAGCGCACGUAGGCUGCUUGUUAAGUCGAGGGUGAAAUCCUGGAGCUCAACUCCAGAACUGCCUUCGAUACUGGCGAGCUCGAGUCCGGGAGAGGUGAGUGGAACUGCGAGUGUAGAGGUGAAAUUCGUAGAUAUUCGCAAGAACAGCAGUGGCGAAGGCGGCUCACUGGCCCGGUACUGACGCUGAGGUGCGAAAGCGUGGGGAGCAAACAGG
rnacentral:rRNA from 1 species